rnacentral:tRNA from 1 species
GUAAUUGUUCCAUAUGAUUCUUUCUAAUGAGUUGUUUUGUCGCUUUUCAUUAUAGGUCAUAUGGGACUUUUUUU